CCCAGAAGAAGGUGCAUAUUUUUUUGAUAACGGGAGUCUAUGGAAGUGUCACAACUCUGAUAUAUAUCAAGGACUCUGACAUGAACUAGCUA